UUUAUGUACGUCCCCCCUCACCCCCUCCUCUCUUUUUCUUUCUCUCUGUCUCUGUCGUCUCUCUCACUGGCUUUUUCAAAAUGAGGGAACCGUUCCUUGAACGUUCUGGACAGAGCGCAGAAUUGCUUCUUUAAGUCAGCCCGGCGCGGUUGCAAUAGCCAGCCAAAAGGUAAACCUUUGCCUGAAAUCCGCACGCCAGCUCCACCACCCCGCCCGAUGGGCCCGUAAUGGAAUCAAGAAUCCUACCCUGGGGAGGAAGAUUGGAGGGCACUGGUUCAACUUCCCAAGGAACCCAGAGAUUUGGAGAUGGGCAGAUGGUCCAGCAGAUGUAGACUGAGCCGCCUUCAGAACCUGCAAAUUCACAGCAGGGCCUCAGUGGAAGCCGCUUCCUCACCGGGAUUCUGCUGACCACCCUGGUUGCUGUCUUCCCACCCAUGCUUCUGAUGCAGCUGCUGUCUGUGGACACCCCACGCUGCCCGGGAAGUGAGUCAGAACUCCUGCAGCUGAUGAUGGAACAGCGACAAGAAGAUGUGAACGGGGCCAAAAAUAAUAGCACUUUCCAGAUGAAGGGCGAGCUGUCCAGCAGAAUGUCCCAGGACAAUGGGUCCCAGUGUAUCUGACAGCUGCAUCUGCACCAGACGCCAGACAUGGCGUGGACAUCUUCACAGGAGGCUUUGCUCUGAUGCAGGCGUUGGCCCAAAGCAAGCAUUAAAGAGCUACAGGAUCUUGAAGGUAUUUUAUCUCUUUGGGGACAUUUUAAACUGGACUUUCUUUGGAAUGAAGCUUUAUUCCAGCCACACAAAAGACAGCAUGGAAAGAAAU